rnacentral:rRNA from 1 species
UACGUAGGGUGCAAGCGUUGUCCGGAAUCACUGGGCGUAAAGGGCGCGUAGGCGGCGCGAGUAGUCAACGGUGAAAGCCCGGGGCUCAACCCCGGGUCGGCCGUCGAUACUCUCGUGCUUGAGCACUGUAGAGGCAGGUGGAAUUCCGGGUGUAGCGGUGGAAUGCGUAGAGAUCCGGAAGAACACCGGUGGCGAAGGCGGCCUGCUGGGCAGUAGCUGACGCUGAGGCGCGACAGCGUGGGGAGCAAACAGG